GAUGAAGAACGUAGCGAAAUGCGAUAAGUAAUGUGAAUUGCAGAAUUCAGUGAAUCAUCGAAUCUUUGAACGCUCAUUGCGCCCGGGAGCAUUCUCCCGGGCAUGCCUGUUCGAGCGUCAUUUCAACCCUCGAUUUCCCUUUGGGGAAGUCGGCCGUUGGAGAUCGGCAGCACUGCCGGCUCCCAAAUACAGUGGCGACCCGCCGCGGGGACCCCUGCGUAGUAACUUACACUCGCACCGGAAACCAGACGUGUCACGCCGUAAAACCCCCAACUUUCUGAACGUUGACCUCGGAUCAGGUAGGAAUACCCGCUGAACUUAAGCAUAUCAAUAAGCGGAGGA
rnacentral:misc_RNA from 1 species